GCCGGGGUAGCCAAGCCCGGACUACGGCGCCGGCCUUGAGAGCCGGUUGAGCUUCUGCUCAUCAGGAGUUCGAAUCUCCUCCCCGGCG
rnacentral:tRNA from 1 species